UUGAAAGUUCUCGGACACCAUUAGCUACCAUAAACAAAGUUUAUACAGAUUUGGAACAACUCGAGGACAACAAACAGGGCUCAGACCUUCACCCUUCGUUAUAAGAGAAGCUGUCACAUUCAAACAAGUGCCCGGAUUGGACAAUAGAUGCUGGGGGUGUGACAGAUCUACUCUUCCGCUUGAGGGGAGAGAUCGCACUGCUGGUCUUUGUGACUGGCAAACUUGCAGAUGGCGGGGACGCAGUUGCUGCUCUGUGUCUGACAAGGCCAAGGUUGAUGAUUUAUAUCACAGAUCCGAUUUAAAGAUCACAUGGUUUAGAAUGCAUUUGCGAACAGUAGCUAACAAUGAACAACUUUGUUUCUCAGCAUUUAUUAAUCCCUCACAAUGUUAGUUCAUGUCAAUACAGUUUUUCAUGUAAGUUGGUGUAUUAACUAGUGGUUACAGUGACAACGUUUGAUUUUAAUAAUGCAUUAGUAAAUGCUUAAAUGAACAUGAAUUAUUAUAUUAAAAAAUGCUGUUGUAGUAUCGUUCAUUGUUAGGUCAAGUCAGCCAAUGCAUAAACUAAUUGUUAGCAAAUAUCACCUUAUUGUAAAGUGUUCCCAUUUAUCUUUCAAUCAUACUGUAUUUAAAAUUCUCUGAAUGUUUAACUUUCAACCAAAUGUUGAUUUAUUGUGGGUCUGCUGCGCUAAAUACAUUCAUCCAAGUUAAUCAUUACACUAACAUUGUGUGCACUUGACUGUUAAGAUAAACAGACAUGUUGAAAGACAGGAGGAGUUUAAUUGGCCUGAUUCGUAUAUGUGUAAACGCAAAACAUGAAGAAUGAAGUAUGAAACAACUCUUUUCCUAUUUGAACAUCCAAACUAAAUAUGUGU